AAUUUGCGUUAGGGAUUGAAGUGAAAAGCCCGGAACCUCAAAACAGCAAAUUUUCUUAGGCACAAAAAGCGACCAGCGGAAGCUUUUUGGGUCUUUAGAAAAUUGCUAUUUUGUGGUGAGGACUUGUAACGCAAAGCCCGACCCUUG
rnacentral:sRNA from 1 species